UGGCUCAUUUGGUAGAGCGUGGUGUUUGCAACACCAGGGUUGUGGAUUCAAUUCCCAC
rnacentral:tRNA from 1 species